rnacentral:rRNA from 1 species
GCAAGUCGAACGCUGAAGCCGACAGCUUGCUGUUGGUGGAUGAGUGGCGAACGGGUGAGUAACACGUGAGUAACCUGCCCCUGAUUUCGGGAUAAGCCUGGGAAACUGGGUCUAAUACCGGAUAUGACCAAUCUUCGCAUGAGGGUUGGUGGAAAGUUUUUCGAUCGGGGAUGGGCUCGCGGCCUAUCAGCUUGUUGGUGGGGUAAUGGCCUACCAAGGCGACGACGGGUAGCCGGCCUGAGAGGGCGACCGGCCACACUGGGACUGAGACACGGCCCAGACUCCUACGGGAGGCAGCAGUGGGGAAUAUUGCACAAUGGGGGAAACCCUGAUGCAGCGACGCAGCGUGCGGGAUGACGGCCUUCGGGUUGUAAACCGCUUUCAGCAGGGAAGAAGCGAAAGUGACGGUACCUGCAGAAGAAGUACCGGCUAACUACGUGCCAGCAGCCGCGGUAAUACGUAGGGUACGAGC